AGCUGCAGAAGAAGCACCGGCUAACUCCGUGCCAGCAGCCGCGGUAAUACGGAGGGUGCGAGCGUUAAUCGGAAUUACUGGGCGUAAAGCGCAUGCAGGUGGUUUGUUAAGUUCAGAUGUGAAAGCCCGGGGCGUCAACCUCGGAAUAGCAUUUGAAACUAGGCAGACUAGAGUACUGUAGAGGGGGGUAGGAAUUUCAGGUGUAGCGGUGAAAUGCGUAGAGAUCUGAAGGAAUACCGGUGGCGAAGGCGGCCCCCUCGGACAGAUACUGACACUCAGAUGCGAAAGCGUGGGGAGCAAACAGGAUUAGAUACCCUGGUAG
rnacentral:rRNA from 1 species